rnacentral:rRNA from 1 species
AGGCAGCAGUGGGGAAUUUUGGACAAUGGGCGAAAGCCUGAUCCAGCCAUUCCGCGUGAGUGAAGAAGGCCUUCGGGUUGUAAAGCUCUUUCGCAAGGGAAGAAAACUUAGGCGCUAAUAUCGCUUGAGGUUGACGGUACCUUGGUAAGAAGCACCGGCUAACUACGUGCCAGCAGCCGCGGUAAUACGUAGGGUGCGAGCGUUAAUCGGAAUUACUGGGCGUAAAGCGUGCGCAGGCGGUUUUGUAAGUCAGAUGUGAAAUCCCCGAGCUCAACUUGGGAACUGCGUUUGAAACUAUAAGACUAGAAUAUGUCAGAGGGGGGUAGAAUUCCACGUGUAGCAGUGAGAUGCGUAGAGAUGUGGAGGAAUACCAAUGGCGAAGGCAGCCCCCUGGGAUAAUAUUGACGCUCAUGCACGAAAGCGUGGGGAGCAAACAGGAUUAGAUACCCUGGUAGUCCACGCCCUAAACGAUGUCUACUAGUUGUUGGUGGAGUAAAAUCCAUGAGUAACGCAGCUAACGCGUGAAGUAGACCGCCUGGGGAGUACGGUCGCAAGAUUAAAACUCAAAAGAAUUGACGG